rnacentral:siRNA from 1 species
UAAGUUUCAGCCUUGCGACCAU